CAACACGAGUUUGCUAUUUUUAUAUCCUGAUCCUGUCGACUCUCUCUGGAGAUGACGGUUGUUUUUAAUCUGGGCUCGACUUCCAGUAUCCCCUUCAGUGAAAUGUUCUUAGAGACCCGUCAUUUUCAAACAUUUGAGAUGCAGUUUGUUGGAAAACUUUAAGACUUUCCUUCGAGUCAUGGUUUUUUAGUUAGCAAACAUUCCCCUUGCAACCAAUCUCUGAUUCUCUUACAGCUGGACUAUCUCAGAAGAUGUUUCUCCAAAUAUAAGGGAGAAGAGGCAGGAAGCAGAGUUAGGUUUUUUGAUUUAUGUUUAUUUUACGAACAUAAAAAGAGAUGGAGUUAUAGGUUAUCAUCCACAAGGCCAACUGCACUCAUUUGUUUAGAAUCCACAGAAGGAGUGGAAAAGGAAGGAGGGAAACGGGGAGGCAGGACAUGUCUUUGUAGCCCGCGAGUGUGUUUUAUGAAGGCCUGGCACGCACCCAGCUGGCAGAGUUGGGGGGCUGUGACGCGUUCCAAACGAAGCAGGGUGCCCCUCCACAGGCCUCUCGCUGGCACCCUGGCCUUCCAGUCUGAUCGGACACCUCGGAGAGAAUGAGUUAAGUGAGGGGACCGAAGCAAGGAGAAAAGACAGACAUGGGCCGUUAAAUGUGGAUUGUUUACAUUGUAGGCAGAUGGUGGGAGGAGAGAGGAGGAAAGGGGAAAGAAAAGGAGGAGCAACGCAGAGGAAGAGUGGUAGAGGAGGACAGCGCAGGAGGAGAGGGUGAAUCUGAGGACAGCUGUGCAGACAACCACACUUUGACUUUUGUUUGAGGAAGAGAGGAAUCAGCCGGCCGGCGGAGGAUCAAUCAGGUGUCUUGUUUUUCCUGGAUUCACAGUCUGAGAAGUAGCAGUCGCUCGCAGACUGAGCUUUGCAUUGAUUUGUACGUCUGUGUGAAAGUGUGUUUAAUAAAUACCGCCCCGUGGGCCAA